rnacentral:rRNA from 1 species
CGCUUGUUUACCAAAAACAUGGCUUCGUGUUAUCAUCAAAAUACGAAGUCGGACCUGCCCAGUGAGUUUUAAACGGCCGCGGUACUCUGACCGUGCAAAGGUAGCAUAAUCAUUUGCCUUAUAAUUGAAGGCUGGAAUGAAUGGUUUGACAAGAAUAUAUCUGUCUCCUUUAGAUUGUUUAGAAUUUUAUCUCUGGAUGAAAAAGUCCAGAUUCAAUUAAAAGACAAGAAGACCCUAUCGAGCUUUAGAGAAAUUAAUGGACUUGUUAUAGAAUUCAAUAUUGAUAAAAGAAAAGCUAUUAAAUACUUUGAUUGGGGCAAUCAAGGAGCAGCUAAAACCUCCUUUAAUGAUGUUAAAUCUCACUCGUAUUGAGCCAGGAAUUUUGGUUAAAGGAAUUAGUUACCGUAGGGAUAACAGCAUUAUCUUUUUUAAGAGCCCAUAUCGAAAAAAAGGUUUGUGACCUCGAUGUUGGACCAGAAUAUCCUAAAGAUGCAGAAGUCUUUAAGGGUUGGUCUGUUCGACCAUUAAAAUUCUACGUGAUCUGAGUUCAGACCGG